rfam:Camelus ferus unplaced genomic scaffold scaffold64113, whole genome shotgun sequence.
GGAGGUAUAGCUCGGUAGUAGAGCACGUGUUUGGAGUGCACGAGGUCCUGGGUUCAAUCCCCAGUGCCUCCA